GUGGGGAAUUUUGGACAAUGGGCGCAAGCCUGAUCCAGCAAUGCCGCGUGCAGGAAGAAGGCCUUCGGGUUGUAAACUGCUUUUGUACGGAACGAAAAGGCUCUGGUUAAUACCUGGGGCUCAUGACGGUACCGUAAGAAUAAGCACCGGCUAACUACGUGCCAGCAGCCGCGGUAAUACGUAGGGUGCAAGCGUUAAUCGGAAUUACUGGGCGUAAAGCGUGCGCAGGCGGUUUUGUAAGACAGACGUGAAAUCCCCGGGCUCAACCUGGGAAUGGCGUUUGUGACUGCAAAGCUGGAGUGCGGCAGAGGGGGAUGGAAUUCCGCGUGUAGCAGUGAAAUGCGUAGAUAUGCGGAGGAACACCGAUGGCGAAGGCAAUCCCCUGGGCCUGCACUGACGCUCAUGCACGAAAGCGUGGGGAGCAAACAGGAUUAGAUACCCCAGUAGUCC
rnacentral:rRNA from 1 species